UUAUUUCAUGGAGAGUUUGAUCCUGGCUCAGGACGAACGCUGGCGGCGUGCCUAAUACAUGCAAGUCGAGCGGACAGAUGGGAGCU
rnacentral:rRNA from 1 species